AGGACGAACGCUGGCGGCGUGCUUAACACAUGCAAGUCGAGCGGAAAGGCCCUUCGGGGUACUCGAGCGGCGAACGGGUGAGUAACACGUGAGUAACCUGCCCCUAGCUCUGGGAUAGCUCCGGGAAACCGGGAUUAAUACCAGAUACGACCACUUUAGACAUCUGUCGUGGUGGAAAGGAUUCCGGCUAGGGAUGGGCUCGCGGCCUAUCAGCUUGUUGGUGGGGUAACGGCCUACCAAGGCGACGACGGGUAGCCGGCCUGAGAGGGCGACCGGCCACACUGGGACUGAGACACGGCCCAGACUCCUACGGGAGGCAGCAGUGGGGAAUAUUGCGCAAUGGGCGAAAGCCUGACGCAGCGACACCGCGUGGGGGAUGAAGGCCUUCGGGUUGUAAACCCCUUUCAGCAGGGACGAAGCGAAAGUGACGGUACCUGCAGAAGAAGCGCCGGCUAACUACGCGCCAGCAGCCGC
rnacentral:rRNA from 1 species